rnacentral:lncRNA from 1 species
GAAACCCCAUCUGUACUAAAAAUACAAAAAUUAGCCAGAUGUGGUGGGACAUGCCUGUAAUUCCAGCUACUUGGGAGGCUGAGGCAGGAGAAUCACUUGAACUCGGGUGAAACCCUGUCUCUACUAAAAAUACAAAAAUUAGCCUGGCGUGGUGGGACAUGCCUGUAAUCCCAGCUACCUGGGAGGCUGAGGCAGGAGAAUCACUUAAACCCAGGAAGCGGAGGUUGCAGUGAGCUGAGAUCACUCCAUUGCACACCAAUGGUGGCCAGUUUUUGAAAUCUAGGAUGAUGGGGAGCCAGAUCGGGAUCCUGUGCCAUGCAUUUGAAGCCUCCCCAUAGAGACCGUCGAAAAUUGCCAAUGCUGAUUAUAUUUCAAGUCAUCAUGGAGUCAUUGGCUAUGAUACUGCCACUGCACAAAGCUGGCCCCAUCUCAAAAACAAGUUAUAUGUGGAUUUGUGGCUGCAUGGAGGAGGGCUGACACCCCUAACCCCUGCAUUGUUCAAGGGUCAACUAUAAUAUAAACAUAACUUCACU